GGUUAACUCCUUGCCAGCGGCGGGGGUAAUAGGUAGGUCCCGAGCGUGUGUCGGAUUUAUUGGGCGUAAAGCGAGCGCAGGUGGGUACAUAAGUCUGAAGUAAAAGGCAGUGGCUCAACCAUUGUAUGCUUUGGAAACUAUGUAACUUGAGUGCAGAAGGGGAGAGUGGAAUUCCAUGUGUAGCGGUGAAAUGCGUAGAUAUAUGGAGGAACACCGGUGGCGAAAGCGGCUCUCUGGUCUGUAACUGACACUGAGGCUCGAAAGCGUGGGGAGCAAACAGGAUUAGAUACCCGAGUAGUC
rnacentral:rRNA from 1 species